rnacentral:rRNA from 1 species
ACGGAAGGCAGCAGUGGGGAAUAUUGCACAAUGGGGGAAACCCUGAUGCAGCGACGCCGCGUGAGUGAAGAAGUUAUUCGUAAUGUAAAGCUCUAUCAGCAGGGAAGAAAAUGACGGUACCUGACUAAGAAGCCCCGGCUAACUACGUGCCAGCAGCCGCGGUAAUACGUAGGGGGCAAGCGUUAUCCGGAUUUACUGGGUGUAAAGGGAGCGUAGACGGUCUGGCAAGUCUGAUGUGAAAGGCAGGGGCUCAACUCCUGGACUGCAUUGGAAACUGUCAGUCUUGAGUGUCGGAGAGGUAAGCGGAAUUCCUAGUGUAGCGGUGAAAUGCGUAGAUAUUAGGAGGAACACCAGUGGCGAAGGCGGCUUACUGGACGAUAACUGACGUUGAGGCUCGAAAGCGUGGGGAGCAAAUAGGAUUAGAUACCCUGGUA